GACUAUUAUCGGAUAUUUGCAACUUGCCAAGAAGCAUGGGAGGAGAGAAAAUGGAAGAACAAAGGUCAGAUAAUAAUCUCCCUCCCCCAACACACAUUUCUUAUCCGUAUAGGCACUAAACACCAAAGCUCACCCAAAUUGGCAAGCUUAUACAAAUAUAUACAUACAUAUACUAAUUCUAUACUUCUACUUGUUCCGAAACAUGAAUGAGACACUUCAACACGUGUCAUUUCCCCAUUCCUUCUUCUAUCUUCCCACCCACUUCAAUAUCUUUCAAUAAUUAUACAUUUGCAAAUCUUUCA
rnacentral:lncRNA from 1 species